AUCUGCCUGCCUCGGCCUCCCAAAGUGCUGGGAUUACAGGCAUAAGCCACCACACCCGGCCUAAGUCUUCUAUAAGUUGGUUCUAAUAGACAAUAACCAAUAAGCAGCGUUAACAUUAUGAAAAUGUUGGUCCACAGCAGAGCCAAGUAGUAUGCUGUGAUUGAUUUUCCUCUGUGUAAUCACAAUGUCUCAACCCUGUGCUGCUCAGUUUCUCAAAAUCAUGGUUACUUUGUUGUUGUCGCUUUGCCUAGUACUUUGUUCUUGAAAGAAAUCUGUGCCAUCUUACCCAUUCUAUUUUCUUGGAAUAUUUUUCUUUUGAAAGCCCACUGAUGACUCAGUUUAAUUCAUAUUUGAAUUAUGAUUUUCUUGUAGAGUCUUUCAGAAAAUAAAAUUUCUAGGUGCUUUUCUUAUUUUCAUUUUCUUUGCCUGAAGUAUAUCUUCAAGUUCUUCCAACUGUAUGUUCCAUGAAAUACCUUUGUUUCCUGGAUACUCCAUUCUUGCUCAAAUAUGAACUUGUGGCUUAGUCAACCACAAAACUGACAUUCUGGGUCACAUCUGCAGCUGCCUGAAUCCCAUGGCUUCCUCAGGAUACUCUGCUGUUUUACUGAUGGAGUGCAUGCUCUAAUAACUCCUCAUGAAAAGGUGCCUGGCAGGGCACAUCACUGUGAAAUCAAAACAACCGAGCAUGUACCCUUUGUCCUCAAAGGCUGGCAUGCAGGCCUGUGAACUUGGAAAAAGAACAAAGCUUUCUGGUAUAAUAAACAAAGAAAAUGAAGAUUAAAAA